rnacentral:rRNA from 1 species
UUCGGUAGUGGGAGCGUACACAGGUGCUGCAUGGCUGUCGUCAGCUCGUGUCGUGAGAUGUUGGGUUAAGUCCCGCAACGAGCGCCAACCCCUGCAUCCAGUUGCCAGUCGGGCGAGGCCGGGCACUCUGGAGGGACUGCCGGCGACAAGCCGGAGGAAGGUGGGAUGACGUCAAGUCAUCAUCGGCCCUUAUGUCCGAGGGCGACACACGUGCUACAAUGGCCGGCACAGGCGGGAAGCGGAGGGCGACCCUGAGCGGAUCCCUUGAAAGCCGGUCCCAGUUCGGAUUGCAGUCUGCAACUCGACUUCGUGAAGCUGGAUUCGCUAGUAAUCGCGCAUCAGCCAUGGCGCGGUGAAUACGUUCCCGGGCCUU